GAGCAGUGUUCCGUAGCCGAUCGUGGUCCUCUGAUUCCUACUUGUAAGUUUUAAACACUAAACAGUGUGACUUAGUGGUGCGCGCUUCUAUAUCUCGGUAAACGAGGGUUGUGAAAAAGUAUAGGUAGUAUAAACAAAUAAACGGAAAUAGUAAACUAACGGUUGUGUUAGAUUUUUUUCGAUUAUUUAUCGUUAUUUUGCCUAUCGUUCUCGUGUAUUUUGUGUUAAUGUGUAACGAUACUCGCCGGCGUAUCAAGACGUCAACAGGAAUAGCAGGAUUCGCGAGCCGUAAAUUUCGAAGUGACUGAAAGUGUUAAAGGUUUGAUUUAUUUUUUAAAAUGUUCAAAUUAAAAAUCUUAAAACGCCGGUUUUUCCCCGUACAAACUACAGGUGGACUGUAACAUUUUUUGGUUGAAGUCUGGCUCUUAAAUAGUUGGGUACGAAAAAAUAAAAUCAAAUAAAAAUAUAUCAUAGUAUAACAAAUAGAUCACAUGGUCUCUUCCUUGAGAGCCAGACUUCAACCCAUUCUUCUAACAAUAACAUUUAUGAUUCAUCGCAUAUUAUUUUUUCUUUUUGAAAGAAUAAAUAAAAAUACAAAUAAAAUAAAUGUAUAAUAAUUUAUAAAAACUCGCGAUUGAUAAGAUUAAUUAGUUGUGCAAGGGUCAGAUUUAAUCUUGGGCCUCGAGGGGUAUAUGAGGAUUGUGGGGAAACUACUAUUACAAUCCAGAUAAUUUUGAUAGGUUUUACGCCGUCCACUGCCACCACAGCGAUUUGAGUUGUUUUACGACCAUAUUAUAUUAAUAAUAUUAUAAUUUAUAAUGUUCACUGUUUACAACCACAUUAAAGUAUCUACUGUGCAAUAAAAGAUGACGAAAAUAUUUUCGAACACGUUCUAAAACGUAAUAAUUCCUAUCAAUGUAUCUUAAUAUUUUUCUAACGAAAACGCAAUACGACGGCGGCAGAGGUGAUGGCGAGUGGGUCACACGCCACAGCGGCUGCCCCUCUCAGCCCACGCGUUACAGCUGUUUUUUAUUUACAAACACAACCGACCGAACAACAAUAAUAAUAAAUGCUACGCGCAAGACGGACGGGUACUCGUGCACCGAGGGGGACUUUGCGGCGGCGGUAAUGCGCGGGGUGGGCGAUCGUCGGCGUAUAUUAUUACGUCGUAAUUUGAUUAGAUUAAAAUAAUGCACACACCACUAUUUUCAAGGUCGAUGACUACGCGACAGCGUCUUUAUAGACUGGCAGGGCAUCCCAAUUUCAAAAAGCCUGUCCUAAGAUAAUAGAGAUGGGUGGAACACCGUUGUAGGUGGGAAGUUGGGAAAGUAGGAUAUAGACAGAAAUAUACUGUAUAUCUGUACGCAACGAUUAACCAUUGCUAACGAAAAAACGAUUCUGAGUGGAGUUCGGUUGAUUGUGUUGCUUUUGUCAACAAUAUAUAUGUCAUGUUAUGGUAAAAUAAUUACAUAUAU